rnacentral:rRNA from 1 species
AACGAACGCUGGCGGCAUGCCUAACACAUGCAAGUCGAACGAUACCUUCGGGUCGAGUGGCGCACGCGUGUGUAACGCGCGGGAACCUGCGCUUAUGUUUGGGAUAACACCGCGGAAGGGGUGCUAAAAUCGGGUAAUGUCUUGCGACCAAAGAUUUAUCGCCUCUGGAUGGGCCCGCGUUGGAUUAGAUAGUUGGUAGGGUAAAAGCCUACCAAGGCGACGAUCCAUAGCUGGUCUGAGAGGAUGAUCAGCCACACUGGGACUGAGACACGGCCCAGACUCCUACGGGAGGCAGCAGUGGGGAAUAUUGGACAAUGGGCGAAAGCCUGAUCCAGCAAUGCCGCGUGAGUGAUGAAGGCCUUAGGGUUGUAAAGCUCUUUUACCCGGGAUGAUAAUGACAGUACCGGGAGAAUAAGCUCCGGCUAACUCCGUG